CUUUUCCUUCCCUUUCCUUCUAUCUUCCUCCUUCCUCUUUAUCUCCUACCAAGAGGAAGCCCCAGUACCAGGCACACCAAGGUCAGGAAUGGUGUCCCGGGCCAUGGACAGUCAAUUUCCAGCCUGAGGCUUGGACAGAGCUUAAAGGUGAGGCCGGCAGCAGCCAGCCAAGGCUGACACAAGGCCUCUAGCUCCUUCUGUAUUUACUCUCCUGCUCCCCCUGUGUUGAUACCGAAGUAAACAAGUCUGAUUACUCCUCUGCCAAGGGAGCCAUCAUAGAGAGGAGGCAUCCAUCUCUCACCAAAGCCAUAUCAGGAAGAGAUCCAAUGCAGCCAUCCUGGCAUGCAACUGCCCCAGGCAUAGAUGGGGAUACGUGGAACUAGGGAAGCUGCCCUUGCCCCUACACACCGAGCAUGGAACAUUUAAUUAUGUUCAGCGACGAUCUGGAGUGAAGUCCCAGCCCUCCCGGAUGCCCUGUUAAUGCAGAGGGACAAGUCUGCUCUCACAUCCCGGGUGGGAGUAGAUUAAAAGGACUCACUCUCUGCUCCUCUCCUGAAGCAUUUCAUCAAAUAGAGCCACAAGCACUCACUUCUGCCCCCCCCUCUCUCUCAUGGUCAGUGAUACAGUAGCCUCCACCUGCUUAGAUCCAGAAGGAAGCAGUUAGAUCUACAUUCAUUUUUUAAACUAUGUAUUCAUUUAGUGGAUGUCUGUAGCCUGUGUGGGUUAAUGCAGACCAGGUUGCUGAAGGAGCCCUUGAGGUCAUAAGAGGGCUUUGGAUUUCCUGAAACUGAAGUUACAGACAGUGGAGAGUAGCCAUGUGGGUGCUGGGAACCAAACCAGGGUUCUCUGUAAGAGCACCCAGUGCUCUUAACCACUGAGCCAUCUCUCCAUCCCAAACACUGCUUUAUUCUGAUUCCCAGAUUAGGACACAGUUGUUCAAGCAUGGAUGGGGAGGAGGCUCAUGAGGCCACACCCCAAGCUGAGGGACUCUUGUAGCAGUUAAUGGCUGCUGGCGGAGUAGAGUUAGUUUCUCUUUGGGGGUGUAGCCACAGAUAAGGUGCCCAUGCUCCCGUAAAUAACCCCACACCCACGUUCAUGCAUACAGCCAUAACCAAGGUCAUGGAUGGGGUGAUGAGAUUGGGAGGGCAUGACAGAAGGUCAUGGAGGUGUUUGUAUAUGGUGAGAAUGUGUUGAAUAUGUGUAAAAAAAUUGUCAACAAAUGAAAACAAUUUAAAUAAGGGCAUGAGUUUGAAAAAAUAAUUGUGCCCUUUUGGAGAGUAGGUAAAAAUCCAAAAGAAAUCAGUUAAAUACCGAUGAUAACAGUGUGACUGAAGGAGUCAAGUGCCCUGGGAGUCACUCAGAGUGUCUUUUUAGCUCUUUACUUUAUGUAGGUACCAUGUGCCCUCACACAAAAAUUCUACCUCCCUUGAGUGUCAAGAUCUGACUUGAAGGCAGACACUAUUCUGCAUAAGCAAGCCAUCAUUCACCGGCCCCUUCACCCUCCGCAUCUCACCUAUAAGCCCAAGCCCACCUCACCAUGAGUAGCCAGAUACCUGGCAGUCCGCAGCAGGGGUGUCACCAAUAAAAGAAUAGGAGACACACUCCAAAAAAAGGACCCUGUCCAGGCUCUUUAGAGUAGGACUUUAGGCAAACCUCGACAGGCGCCGUUUCCACUGCAUGCAGGCUUCCUGCAAACCAGCUGACCUGUAUUUACAGUCUCCACAUUUGUUUUGGAAGAAAUCCAAAUGUCCACUUAACUGGGCUGGAGGCCAGCAUAAUCUUCCUAUAUUGUUUGUAACCACGAGAUUAAUGGCGGGCCUUGCUCUGAGCCUCGUGGUGACAUCAUUCACCUUGGGGUGUCUCUUCAGUGCAGAUUACAAUAAUGGAUUGGUCUUCACAGGGGCUGUCGGCUCUGGUUGAGGAGCCUCAGCUUCUGCAGAGAAGCAGCGUAGGAAAUAAGUUGCAUCACUUCAGAAAUGGACCAUGUUGAGCCUGACACAAGGAACUUGCCAGGCUCCGUUUGAAUAAAAUGCCUGAUUCUCUAUCUCUCUCUGUCUCUCUCUGUCUCUCUGUCUCUCUCUCUCUCUCUCUCUCUCUCUCUCUCUCUCUCUCUCUCUCCCUCUCUCUCUCUCUCUCUCUCUCACACACACACACACACACACACACACACACACACACACACACACACACAGACACUUGAGGUCAUAACUUACAGACAAUAAGUUACUAUAAGAGCUAAAUAAGAAGCACAGCAUGUACCUGUGUCCCAGAAAUUAACGCACACAUUUGUGUCAUUCAUGGAAAGAUGAUGAAUCGGCUCAUCUGAUGCUAAAAUAUGUCACAGGUUAUAACUCAGCAACAACGAGGAACAAUUCCAUUAACAAGUGGACAAAGAAGGAUCCAAUAGACAAUCUUCCAAGGAAGAGAGACAAAGGGCCAGUGAUGACAUGCUGAGACUCUCACUGUUACUAAUCAUUGAAGUGACACACACUAAAAACACAGCGAGGGACAGGGAGAUGGCUUAGUGGUUAAAGAGCUUGCUGCAAAAUCAUGAGGACCUGAGUUCGGAUCCCCAGCACCCAGUAAGAAGCUGAGUGUGAUAACACAGGCUGGUAAUCCUGAUGAUGAGAAGGAAUAUUUUAGGGGCGUGAUAGCCAGCCAGUCUAGCCAAUAAGGGAGUUCCAGAUUCAGUGAAAGACCCCCACCUAGAAACUAAGGCACAAGGUGGCUAAGGGCCUGAUACUGACAUCUGGCCUCCAUAUGCACACACACAGGACUGCACUUGCCUGAAGCGCCUUCUGUCAGGUCCUGUCCUGAAAUUCAGCAAUAAGGAAGGAAGUUGAUUCAGAGACACAGGUCCACACAAAGACUAACACACAAGCGCAACACAGUCUGAGAUAGAGGCAUCGCAGCGAAAGUGUGUGGAGUGGUGGUGGGCAGGCAAGUGGGACUCACCUCUGAGACCUUUUGCCUGAAGCUACCGAAUGUCCUGGCAAAACCUGAGAGGGCCCUGCACUUUGCCUGCUGUCAACCCACAUCCCUCAUUCCUAGCCUGGGGCCAGGUAGUAAUGAGUGGUGUUCGAAAGGGGUAUCUCAGUCAUGUGUCUCUUUCCAGGUACAGCAAUGGCCAGCUGUGCAGCCUGGGGCAAGCAACUUCCUCUCAGUGCAUCUUGGAUUCCUCCACAUUGGGCACGAAUGCUUCUGAUGGUAUUGGGAUUUGCAGGGAGGAGCCAGGGAUUGGCAAGCAAAGGCCCAGCUCCUCCUUGCCUGUUGCCUGUGACUGACUGUACCACUCAACACCCGAAGGCUCCUGUGUGCAUUUGCCCAAGCAGCUCUUCCAUCCCCUCCAUCCCCUCCAUGGUUCUGCCCCUCUGUGACCCUCUCCUCACCCGAGCCUCAAAGCAGGGGUGGAUGGUUUGAUGUUAACUGGCCUGGAUGAAAUGCUUUCUGCUGGCAAUUGCCUUCAUUGCCUGCUGUAAAAUUACAUCUAUAUUUAAAUAUGCUGAGAUAAUUCUUAAGUUUUAUUAGUACUUAAAUAUUUUGGCAUGUUUAUUUCUCCUGAAACAAUUAUGGAGGUUUCAUUGUUUUACUUGAAAAAAAAGAGAGAGGCUAAAUCUUCUCUUACAAUACCCCCCUCCCCCCGAAAGGCUGGGUAUGGUGCUCGAGAGCUCCAGCGUACCCCGUUAUCAGUUAUUCAGGUGAAGUAGAACCUGGUAGGAAGGGGCUGGCUUUCCUGCUAUAACCUGGUCACCCUCUGCAGACCUCGAAGCUUCUGUCAUGUGACUUCUCCUCCUUAUAAUCACGCCCCACCUCCAGUAAUAAUAAUAGGGCUCUCGAAGUCACCCCCACACUCUACUGUCCCCAGGGUUUGGUCCCACUCUUGUCUACAGCCCCUUUGGACUUUUCCUCCUUGACUGAGCCAGUCUGAGCAAGCCAGUUGUUUUCUGAGGCUCCUGGAGGGUGGGGUGGGGGUGGGGUGGAAGGGGGGAGGCAGGGCGAGGACACACUGAGGCUUUGUUUAGAAGUAUUGUGGUUAAUGCUAAUAACAGCUGGGAGAGUGGAAAGGGCAGGGCUGCUUUUCCUCAUUUUAAAGAUGGAGACAGCAAAGUCCAGAGAGGUUGCCUGACCUGCCCAAAGUCACACAGGUGGUAAGCAAAGGAAACAGUCUCGGUCGCCAAAACAGAGGGUUCCCACUCUACCCAACUGCCUCGAGGCUGGCAGGGGGUGUCAAGCUGCCCGAUGCCACAUGGAAAAAGUGCUCCGUUUUUAACUUUGGAGAAGACCUGCUCUCUAUGGCGGGGUACUUGUUUCAACAAUGUGUUUCCUGUGUUGUAGGUGGGGAAACAUAGCAGUCCAGUGACAGCAGGGAGACCCAAGACUCGACCCUGUGUUAGACAUGUGGCUUUGACUAUGUUCCUUCACCUCUGCAUGGGGGUGGGGGGGAAUGACACCCACAGAGAAGGGGCCCAGCAAGCACUUGGGCCUUGAAGCAUGCACUGCUUGAAUCAAAGCAUGCAUGUGCAGCGCCCAUCUGAGGCUAUUGCCCUAUUUGACAGAUGCAGAAGCCAAAACACAGACAAGACCAGGGGGCCCCUCCCCUGUCCCAUGGCUGACUCCAGGCUCAGAGCCCACAUGAUCUCCAGAGGAGGAGGCUGGGGGAGCAGGGGCAUCAGAAUCCACACAGCACAGAAUGGGGGACCUUACAGGUGAGGAGGCACGGCCAGAUCAGAACUAAUAUCACACUCACACAAUCGUGGCAGCCAUGUUUCUCAGCCCAGAUUCUGGUCUAGUCUGUGUAAUAUCAGCACAGACGAGAUAUCAGCUCCUAUAAUUCUCUUCUCCAGGAGGCUAGUCUGGCUUCCAUUUUCCAUGUUAACUGCAAGACCACUGCCCCUCCUUACCUCCCAAGACCUGGUAUCUAGGGGACCCUGGGCUCUGCACACAGCAUGGAUGCCUCUCACCUUCCCAGGAAAAAUAGGAGUCAAGCAGGUACAUUGUUUGAGUGAGCUCCCUAUUUUAUAGACAAGCCAGCCCCCAGCUGCCCAGAUGAACACUACCCACAGCUUUGUUAAAGUCGGGGAGCCAGGCUGUUUGGCAGAACAGUAUGAGGGCUAAGAAGUAACUGCUGAGACCUGGCUCUUGGACUAUGACAGCCAGCUGCAUGGCUUUGGGAAACUCUCGCUCCCUCUGAGCCUUUCCACUCUUACCUGUGAGACGUGUCUUGUCAGUAACGACACCUUCUGACCUAUUAGGAAGGCUUAGGAUUAAGGCAUUUCGUAGCAACUCUAAUGGGUCAGAACUGAGGGCAGCCACAGACUCCAUGGUAACUAUCAUGACACCUCUGGAAUAUACAGCCACUCCCAGGGUGAUCCUCAUCAGGGGACAGAGAGAAGUGCUCACGGAGCCUCACAGAAGGGACUCAGGAGCAGCAGCCCUCCUUUAUUUGUACAUUUUAAGAGCCCUGCUUUCCUCCGGGUUGUGACAUUUUCAACAUUUCAAUCCUUUCUCAGCAUAUGGUGGAAAUUUCAUUACUGCAGCUUUAGGUAGAGGGAGAAUGCCAACCACUGUGUGGGGAGACGCGCUUCAAUACUUCAGACACUGGCUAAGCAGACCUCUCUGUGCACAGCUCCGGGGGGAGGCCAAGGGGCUCAGCAGUCUCUAUUCAAGGGGAGACCCUAGAAUCACAGUGCCCACACUCAGGAAAAAUAACACCAUGACAGGAGGCUGAGCAGGGUGGUGCAACAGAGCCUCCUUGGGUCCCAGCCACUAAGCUCUGUUUCCAGAGGGUAGCCACAGCCCCCUGCACACAGACUGGUCACCCGUGAACUGAUUGGGUAUACAUACUGAUACCUAUCUGCAGGAGCAACCCCGAAGUCUCCUGUUCACAGAGCCCAGAUAGGAGGAGGGAGGAGGAGGACUCACUGGCUUGCACCUGGGUGGUCUACAAAGACUCCCCAGAGGCAGAGAGCUGCCUUGGGCAGGGGGAAGGGGUGGAGAGGAUGGAGGGGGCCUUUCUGUAAGAAUGUAAUGUUAGAAUCUGAACCAGACAGCUGCUAGGGCAGCAAUAUCUGCUGCAGCCUGCCCCUGCUUCCCCUUGACAGACACCAACAGGCACCACACCGAGGAUGUUGCCUGACCGCUACAAAGCUAACAGACUCCAGGUGCAGGGCUUCCUCACCUGGGGAAGUUACAUUCACAUCAAAGAAGAGCAUUGAUGGACAGACUUCCUGCCUCCUUUUCCCAUCCCUGCCUUUUUGCCUGGGAGUCAGGGAGCAUGGUAACAAACCUGCUAUGAAAUCACCCCCUCCCCUUCCUGCAGACGAGCCCCAACUUCUCUCUGUCUGUCCAUGGCAUUAAUAACUCUUCGAAUAAACUUCUUAGCCCUAACGUUCUGUCUCUGCAUCCCCUCGAGUCUCACCUCAGAGACUUUUCCAGUUCUGGGGGGAGAGAAGAUGAACACACAGUGAAAUGGAUGUGUAGGCAUCAGGGGCGCCCCUGAGGUAAGGAAGCCCAGUCCUCAGAAGCCCCAAACACAGCUGUCACCUUGUAGGGUUGGUUGACAAAAUCCAUCAUUUGAACAAUUGACGCAGGAG
rnacentral:lncRNA from 1 species